UUCUUAUCAUAGUUUAUAAAUCACAACCCCAAAUCUACAAUAUUUAUCUAUAAAAAUGAAAACUUUCCUAAAAUAGAAUUUUUGAAUAAAUUAUUUAAAAAAUACAAUAUAUUGAUAAAAAAAAUCAAACAAAAUACUCUUCUAUCAACAAGAAUUCUUGUUGUCCAAAUUUCUAAACCACAAUCCCAAAUGUACAAUAUUUAUCUACAAAAAUGAAAACUUUCCUAAAAUAGAAUUUUUGAAAAAAUUAUUUAAAAAAUACAAUAUAUUGAUAAAAAAUCAAACAAAAUACUCUUCUAUCAACAAGAAUUCUU
rnacentral:lncRNA from 1 species